rnacentral:rRNA from 1 species
GACGAACGCUGGCGGCGUGCUUAACACAUGCAAGUCGAACGGACAGGCCCUGCUUUUGUGGGGUGCUCGAGUGGCGCACGGGUGAGUAACACGUGAGUAACCUGCCCUUGACUUUGGGAUAACUUCAGGAAACUGGGGCUCAUACCGGAUAGGAGCUCCUGCUGCAUGUUGGGGGUUGUACAGUUUCGGCGGUUGGGGAUGGACUCGCAGCUUAUCAGCUUGUUGGUGUGGUAGUGAUUUACCAAGGCUUUGACGGCUAGCCGGCCUGAGAGGGGGACCGGCGACAUGGGGACUGAGAGACGGCGCAGACGCCUAUGGGAGGCAGUAGUGGGGAAUAUGGCAGAAUGGGCGGAAGCCUGAGGCAGCAACGCUGCGUGCGUGAUGACGGCCUUUGGGGGGUAAACCGCUGUCGCCUGUGACGAAGCGUGAGUGACGGUAAUGGGUAAAGAAGCACCGGCUAACUACGUG